rnacentral:rRNA from 1 species
GUACUGUGCAAACGUUAUUCGGAAUCACUGGGCUUAAAGGGUGCGUAGGCGGCUAACUAAGUAGGGUGUGAAAUACCUCGACUCAACCGAGGAACGGCGCUCUAAACUGGUUAGCUUGAGUGAGAUAGGGGUGUGCGGAACUUCCAGUGGAGCGGUGAAAUGUGUUGAUAUUGGAAGGAACGCCGGUGGCGAAAGCGGCACACUGGGUCUCAACUGACGCUGAGGCACGAAAGCCAGGGUAGCGAACGGGAUUAGAUACCCCGGUAGUCCUGGCUGUAAACGAUGAGCACUAGACGGGAGGGACCCUCGGUCCCAUCCGGUCGCAGCGAAAGCAUUAAGUGCUCCGCCUGGGGGAGUAUGGUCGCAAGGCUG